CCCCCCCCGGUCUCGGGACAGACUUCGUACACUGGUUUCGUACAAGGACUCUGUCACCCGGUUGCAGAACCACUCAAAAUGGCGGACGGAAGACAGGGUGGUGCGGCAGGUGCCGCUUCUCAUUCGAAUGCUGUAAUUUUAUCUAAACCAUCAGGUGUACGCCGAUCCCAGCUAAGUAACUCAUGCAAAAAGUUAAAGCGCAAUUAUGUGUUUUAUCUCCAGUACUCUGCCAUGAUUGUCAGUUAUGUAGCUGCUCUACUGAUAAUCUCAGUGCGUCCUUGCUGGGAUGACACAAUCAGUCUACUACCAGAGAAUAUCAACACCAAACACAUUGGUUCACCGUUCCACGGGAGCGGACAGUACACAGCAUACCAUAAUGUUCUGAAUAAUGGCCAAGUCUACCUCGCUCCUUAUUCUACUGAACCGCUUAGGCGUAACAAACACAAGUCCAACAUUUAUCGGAAACUGUUAAACUACCUGUUCACUACCCUCCUGCUCUCCGGGGAUGUACAACUCAAUCCUGGGCCCAUUAUCACCGCGGUGGAUGGCCUCGUCCACGCUGUGGAGGUGGGUGAGUGCUAUGGUCCUAUGGUUUCUCUCGACUCACCCGGCUCCAGGAUAAAUUUUGACUCUUCAAACAUACCAGAGUCGCUAUAUGCGAUCCCUGACUCUGCUUCUGGUACGCAAGCUAUUUUAAUUAGUUCCCCGCAUCCAGUGCAGGCGAGAGGGAUUGUUAAUUGCGCUACCGAACUGCCCCUAAUCAAAACGAAACAAAGCGGCCUAAACCCAGCCGUCAGAAAACACAGAAAAUUUAACUUUUUUCAACGUGUCAAUCACUCUCGAGUCAUCUGGGACCCACGAGCUAAGCCCAAGGGACUACUAGGGGCCACUUGAACAUUCGUAGUGUCAUUCCAAAAAGUGAUCAAAUUCAACAUCUACUCACAGACUCCAACCUUGACUUGGAGUCAGCUCAGCUAUCACCAUUGAAACCGUGUCUGUGUUUCGACCUAGGUUGGGCAAAACUAAACAUGGCGGUGUUCGUCUUAGCAAUCUCACUAGGAUAAAGACCACCUCCAUUCCUGUCAUUACUGAAAGAGAUCAUGAUACCUCACAUCUCAAAAUAGGGCUACUUAAUGUUAGAUCCCUUACUUCAAAGGCAAUUAUAGUCAAUGAACUAAUCACUGAUCAUAAUCUUGAUGUGAUUGGCCUGACUGAAACAUGGCUUAAGCCUGAUGAAUUUACUGUUUUAAAUGAGGCCUCACCUCCUGGCUACACUAGUGACCAUAUCCCCCGUGCAUCCCGCAAAGGCGGAGGUGUUGCUAACAUUUACGAUAGCAAACUUCAA